GGGAGGGCAGCAGUGGGGAAUUGUGGACAAUGGGCGAAAGCCUGAUCCAGCAAUGCCGCGUGCAGGACGAAGGCCUUCGGGUUGUAAACUGCUUUUGUACGGAACGAAAAAGCUUCUCCUAAUACGAGAGGCCCAUGACGGUACCGUAAGAAUAAGCACCGGCUAACUACGUGCCAGCAGCCGCGGUAAUACGUAGGGUGCGAGCGUUAAUCGGAAUUACUGGGCGUAAAGCGUGCGCAGGCGGUUAUGUAAGACAGAUGUGAAAUCCCCGGGCUCAACCUGGGAACUGCAUUUGUGACUGCAUGGCUAGAGUACGGUAGAGGGGGAUGGAAUUCCGCGUGUAGCAGUGAAAUGCGUAGAUAUGCGGAGGAACACCGAUGGCGAAGGCAAUCCCCUGGACCUGUACUGACGCUCAUGCACGAAAGCGUGGGGAGCAAACAGGAUUAGAUACCCUGGUAGUCCACGCCCUAAACGAUGUCAACUGGUUGUUGGGAAUUAGUUUUCUCAGUAACGAAGCUAACGCGUGAAGUUGACCGCCUGGGGAGUACGGUCGCAAGGUUGAAACUCAAAUGAAUUGACGG
rnacentral:rRNA from 1 species